AAGACCUUGCGCUUUUGGAGCGGCCGAUGCCUGAUUAGCUAGUUGGUGGGGUAAUGGCCUACCAAAGCUUCGAUCAGUAGCUGGUCUGAGAGGACGGCCAGCCACACUGGGACUGAGACACGGCCCAGACUCCUACGGGAGGCAGCAGUGGGGAAUUUUGGACAAUGGGGGCAACCCUGAUCCAGCCAUGCCGCGUGAGUGAAGAAGGCCUUCGGGUUGUAAAGCUCUUUCAGCCGGAACGAAACGGUUACGGUUAACACCCGUGACUACUGACGGUACCGGAAGAAGAAGCACCGGCUAACUACGUGCCAGCAGCCGCGGUAAUACGUAGGGUGCGAGCGUUAAUCGGAAUUACUGGGCGUAAAGCGUGCGCAGGUGGUUUUGUAAGUCAGAUGUGAAAGCCCCGGGCUCAACCUGGGAACU
rnacentral:rRNA from 1 species